rnacentral:rRNA from 1 species
AUUCGUAGGGGGCGAGCGUUGUCCGGAAUGAUUGGGCGUAAAGGGCGCGUAGGCGGCGCGGUAAGUCUGGAGUGAAAGUCCUGCUUUCAAGGUGGGAAUUGCUUUGGAUACUGCCGCGCUUGAGUGCAGGAGAGGUUAUCGGAAUUCCCGGUGUAGCGGUGAAAUGCGUAGAGAUCGGGAGGAACACCAGUGGCGAAGGCGGGUAACUGGACUGCAACUGACGCUGAGGCGCGAAAGUGUGGGGAGCAAACAGGAUUAGAUACCCUGGUAGUCCACACUGUAAACGAUGAAUGCUAGGUGUAAGAGGUAUCGACCCCUUUUGUGCCGGAGUCAACACAAUAAGCAUUCCGCCUGGGGAGUACGGCCGCAAGGUUGAAACUUAAAGGAAUUGGCGGGG